rnacentral:rRNA from 1 species
UGCAAGUCGAGCGGGGAAGUAUAGCUUGCUAUACGACCUAGCGGCGGACGGGUGAGUAAUGCUUAGGAAUCUGCCUAUUAGUGGGGGACAACAUUCCGAAAGGAAUGCUAAUACCGCAUACGCCCUACGGGGGAAAGCAGGGGAUCUUCGGACCUUGCGCUAAUAGAUGAGCCUAAGUCAGAUUAGCUAGUUGGUGGGGUAAAGGCCUACCAAGGCGACGAUCUGUAGCGGGUCUGAGAGGAUGAUCCGCCACACUGGGACUGAGACACGGCCCAGACUCCUACGGGAGGCAGCAGUGGGGAAUAUUGGACAAUGGGCGAAAGCCUGAUCCAGCCAUGCCGCGUGUGUGAAGAAGGCCUUUUGGUUGUAAAGCACUUUAAGCGAGGAGGAGGCUACCGAGAUUAAUACUCUUGGAUAGUGGACGUUACUCGCAGAAUAAGCACCGGCUAACUCUGUGCCAGCAGCCGCGGUAAUACAGAGGGUGCGAGCGUUAAUCGGAUUUACUGGGCGUAAAGCGUGCGUAGGCGGCUUUUUAAGUCGGAUGUGAAAUCCCUGAGCUUAACUUAGGAAUUGCAUUCGAUACUGGGAAGCUAGAGUAUGGGAGAGGAUGGUAGAAUUCCAGGUGUAGCGGUGAAAUGCGUAGAGAUCUGGAGGAAUACCGAUGGCGAAGGCAGCCAUCUGGCCUAAUACUGACGCUGAGGUACGAAAGCAUGGGGAGCAAACAGGAUUAGAUACCCUGGUAGUCCAUGCCGUAAACGAUGUCUACUAGCCGUUGGGGCC